UGGGGAAUCUUGCGCAAUGGCCGAAAGGCUGACGCAGCGACGCCGCGUGCGGGAUGAAGCUUUUCGGAGUGUAAACCGCUGUCAGGUGGGACGAAGGUCCCGAUCAGGAAAUGGGUUGGGGAUGACGGUACCACCAAAGGAAGCACCGGCUAACUUCGUGCCAGCAGCCGCGGUAAUACGAAGGGUGCGAGCGUUGUUCGGAAUUAUUGGGCGUAAAGCGCACGUAGGCGGCCUUGUAAGUCUCACUGUGAAAGUCCGGGGCUCAACCCCGGGAUGCCAGGGGAUACUGCGAGGCUCGAGACAAGUAGAGGUUGGUAGAAUUCCGGGUGUAGCGGUGGAAUGCGUAGAGAUCCGGAGGAAUACCAGAGGCGAAGGCGGCCAACUGGGCUUGUUCUGACGCUGAGGUGCGAAAGCGUGGGGAGCGAACAGG
rnacentral:rRNA from 1 species